UGGACUCAGUGCCUCACCCCCAGAUCUGCAUCGGAAUGCAGAAAAGAUCUUUAAAAAAAAAAAGUUUUGAAUUCCUCAAUGAUUUUUCUUCUGGAAAGGCAGCUUAGGAUAAUUAUUUCAGCUUUAUUGAGGGCAGAUUAGUUGAAGUCUGGGCGCUGCGUUUCAAUACGCGUUGUACACGGGCCGACAAUGUGG
rfam:Tupaia chinensis contig116406, whole genome shotgun sequence.